ensembl:lncRNA
CUCCUCCAGACGACGCCGCUCGCCGCAUCCCAGGGCUGUCCCCGCGGGCAGCCCCUGCGGCGGUGGCAGCCGUGCCCCGCGGGAGCUCCUGACCCCGUACCUGCGCUACAGCGCGACGCCCCCCCCCCAACCCCCACCCCCCACACCCGCAGGAAGGGAGCGCUCCCGAAAUCCCUUCGUCAGCCGGCGGAGCUCGGCAGUUCUCUGUCUCGCUAUGUGCCCACUCCCGGCUCUUCGUGUAAGGAAACCGUCGGGAAAAAAAAUAAAUACCAACAGCCAAAGCGGCUGCCUUUGGUUUGCUUUUGGUUUUGUUCUUAUAGUUAUUUUUUCCUUUUGUUGGUGGCCGUGUGUUUAAUUUUUGCUCUGCUUUUAGCUAAGUGACCGACUGGAGCACGCUGCAUGAAGAGCAGAUGGGAACCUUAAUCCAUCUCUUUAGUAUUCUGCAGUUAUGGGAGCAAGAAAAAAAAAGGUUGGGAAAAUGCCCGUUCUUCCGUGCUUCUCGAGGUGUAUGAAAGACACGGUCAGUGCCGCAUUAAUGUUGAGAACGAGAGCGCUGAGCCGAUGUCCUGUGCCGAGAGGCAAGGGAUAGCCUUGCGAAAGGAAGGACGAACGAAAUGCACCGAAAAGGGACUUCAUUCCGCGGUUCGUUUGUCCGUUUCCUCCAGUGGUCUCUCCCAUUCUGAUCACUCCUUUUUCUUUUCUUUUCUUUUCUUUUCUUUUCUUUUCUUUUCUUUUCUUUUCUUUUCUUUUCCUUUCUUUUCUUUCCUUUUCUUUCAUUUUCUUUCCUUUUCUCUCCUUUUCUUUUCUUUCCUUUUCUUUUUCUUUUCUUUUCUUUUCUUUUCUUUUUUUCUUUUCUUUUCUUUUCUUUUCUUUUCUUUUCUUUUCUUUUCUUUUCUUUUCUUUUCUUUUCUUUUCUUUUCUUUUCUUUUCUUUUCUUUUCUUUUCUUUUCCUUUUCUUUUAUUUUCCUUUUCUUUUCUUUUUUUCUCUGCUCUUCUCUUAAUUUCUUUUUUUCCUUUCCUUUCCUUUCCUUUCCUUUCCUUUCCUUUCCUUUCCUUUCCUUUCCUUUCCUUUCCUUUCCUUUCCUUUCCUUUCCUUUCCUUUCCUUUCCUUUCCUUUCCUUUCCUUUCCUUUCCUUUCCUUUCUUCUUUCCCUUUUUUUCCCCCACUCUUUUCUUUUCCUUUCUUUUCCUUUCUUCUUUUGCUUUCUUCUCCUUCCCCUCCCUUCCCUUCCUAUGUAUAUAUGUGCAUUUUCCUUCUGCCAGUAACUCCAGGUUCUCCUUGCAACCUGUGAUAAGCUUCACUGCUGCAGGGAAGAGCCGGAUAUAACAUGCCUUUUGGAAGCCACCAUCUUUCCCUUUCUCUCCGCCAACCACCCGCGGCCUGGCGGUUCCUCCAGCGCUCAGCAGUUCCCCAUGCCGGGCGGGGGGCCGCCUGGUUCUCCCUCACCCUGACCUCAACGCGGCGCCGGGCAGGGAAAUCACCGCCUCGCUCUCACGGGCUGCGAGGGGAGGGGGGGGAAGAAGGGGGGGCAGCGCUCGAGGGGGGGCACGCAUCGUAUCACGUCACGUCGAUCGCAUCACAUCCCAUCGCACAGCAUCGCAUCACGUCCCACUGUGCGUGUUCAUUGACGCAUGUUUAUAUGUAUCAUAUGUUUUCUAUACGUUUAAUAUGUAAAAUGCGUGUUUAAAUAUACCUUAUUUAUGUUUAUGUUUUAAUACACCAGAUUUAUUGCAGUUCUCGGAGCUCACGAUGCAAAUAAAGGCAAGUUUCAGGGCUGAUUCUCUUAUUCAAUAAGCCAGCUGAAAUAAUGCAAUAUACGUUCGUUGGUAUUGAUUUGGUGUCUAUUAACGGUACGUGCAGAUCUGUACGGCUAUUUCCACACACGCACAGCCGCGUGGGGCUCCGUGCCCCCUCCCCACCGAGCGCCGGGUGUGGAGCCGUAGGCUGAGGGUCAGAGCCGGCACCAAAGCAAUAGAUAAAGAGGAGAGGCAAAUUGAACCGAACGGAACGAAAUAAAUUAAAUUAAUAAAAUAAAAGAACUAAACGAAACUAAAAGCAAUCUAAAAACUAAAAGCACCGCUGUUUUGCUUUGUUUUGUUUUGUUUUGUUUUUUAGCCACCGAGGUUUUGUCACGUUUCUCUCCGAGAGCUGCUGAGCUCCGGGACAGGGAAGCUCCGCUCCGGUGUGAGGCUGCGGGGGAAGGAUGCGGCACCCGGGGGCUGGGGAGGGGCGCUGCGAGCCCCGGAGCCGCCCGUUACCUGCCCCGCGGACGGAUGCCUGUGGCUGCGGGCGGUGACAGCUCUCCGCGGGUCGCACCUUGUAAUGAGGGCCCGCCCCGGCCACCCGGCGGCGGCUCUGCUGAUGUUCGCUUCGCCGCUCCCACCCCGCCCGGCUGUUGGAUCGGGGAGAGGCGCUGGGCUGCCGCACGGAGCCAAAAGCAGUUCCCCCGGUGGCUUCCAAAAUAGUAAUAAUAAUAACAAUAGUAAUAAUAAUCCGCCGGCUGCGAACAAGACCCGACUCCCCUCUUCACCUCGGGGCUGGCACCUGGACCUCCCCUCAUCGAGUCACCUUAUUACUUAGCAAGGAGUCAAAGUUGGCAACAUCCCUCGGCCCCUCCCGACGACAUACCCGGGUGUUCCCCUCCCUGUACCUCACGGACAGCCCGAAUGUGCGCUCUCCCAGCACGGAGCACUCGAAGGAUUCCCAGCCGGAAUCCGGUCCCUGCCGCGCAACCCCCACUUCGGCCCCCCCGGCCCCACAGCCCCCGGCGGGCCCUACCUGCAGUCAUGGAAGCGUUUAGCGGUUUCGGCGGCAGUAACUCCUAACAGGGUGUGAAAUGUAUUGCGGAUUGAAAAAGCGAUGGGAACGUGGAGGCUUUUCAAGUCGGGCGGGCCGGGGCGUUCCUCCCCCUCCGGCGGACACCUCGCGUUGCCUCCGCCGCUGGCACCCGCCCCGCCUCGGCAGGUGCGGUGCCUCUGGGGCCGGGCACAAGGCACGAGUCCAGCCCCGCAGACGCUCUCCCAGGCCAAAAACCUGAGGUCUCCUCUGUUCCCAGCAUGCUCUGGUCGAUCUUUUUUUUUUUUUUUUUUUUUUUUUUUUCCUCUUUUUAAAUUCUUUCUUUCUUUCUUUCUUUCUUUCUUUCUUUCUUUCUUUCUUUCUUUCUCUCUCUCUCUCUCUCUCUUUCUUUCUUUCUUUCUUUCUUUCUUUCUUUCUUUCUUUCUUUCUUUCUUUCUUUCAAGUUUAAAAUGUGACAGGAUAAACUCGGGGUGAAUAGUUCACCUCCUCCACGGCAUAAUUUUAGUUCGGGUUGUCCCCGUCGGAGCCAACAGCUGAGCCGCGCCCACCUUCGGUCCCCCCGCGCACCGCCCGCACAUGGGAAGGCUGGCGCUUACCUGCCUCGGCGGGAGGGGCACCGGGACACGGCCACGCCAGGAGUGUCCCCAGCUCCGCCCCGAGUGCCGCGGGGCCUCCCCGCUCCGUGUGGCCGUCGAGGAACCCCGAUAAGAAAAGGCUGCUCCUGGAAAUGCUUGAGACUGAGCAUCAGGGAGCGGCUUUAAACGAGCAAGCAAAAAAAAAGAGGGAAAAAAAAGCCCCCCUCCGACCUCUGAUUGAAGGACAGUUAAAAAUAAUUGCCCGUGUUAAGAGGCAGAGGGGGAGGUAACGAGGAAAACUGCCUUCUUUCAAAGCCCGCUAAUGGCCAUGGCCAUGCGAUUCAUUAGGUCACUUAAUCCUAAUAGACCCUCUGGCAUCUGCGCCGCUGACCCGGCGCGCCGAGCACCACCAGCGCAGCCCCAUCAAACAGGGCAAUGCCCCACGCCGAGCUCCUGAACCGCCGUGUGCGGGGAGAGGGCUGUGGGCAGCGCUGGGGCAGAGCGGGGCUCCGGCCGCUGCCCCUCUCGCAGCCAAACGAUGGCUCUGGUUGUGGCGUUUUCCCCCUCCCAUUAAACAUCAGCCUCGGAGACCGCGCAGUGUCACCCCGAGCGCACGGGGUCGAAGAGAGCCACUCUUGACCGGUGCCGUCGCUCCGCUGCUGCAGCUGACAAAGCCUCAUUAUUAAAUACUCCUUCCUUCCUUCCUUCCUUCCUUCCUUCCUUCCUUCCUUCCUUCCUUCCUUCCUUCCUUCCUUCCUUCCUUCCUUCCUUCCUCCCUCCCUCCCUCCCUCCCUCCCUUCCUCUCCUUCUUCCUUUCCUUCUUUCCUUCUCUGUAUUUAUCUCCCUUUCUCUCUUUUCUUUUCCCUUUUUCCUCCCUCCCUCCCUCCCUCCCUCCCUCCCUCUCCUUCUUCCUUUCCUUUCCUUCUCUGUAUUUAUCUCUCUCUCUCUCCCUUUUCUUUUCCCUUUUUCCUCAAGGGCUUUUUCUUUUAACUUGUAAAAUGUUGUUCUGCCAUGGAACUUGUCAUAACAGGAGCUUGUUCUCUUUAUUGAGUUAUUUAUUUUUCUAACGCACAACAAUAUCCCCAAUGCGAUCCUUUGAUGGAGUUUCCAAACGGGAGAAUGGGAGAAAAAAUUCUGCAGAGAAAGAGGAGGAGAGAGGGGGAAAGAGGGGAAGAAGGGAGGAAAAAAAGAAGGGACGGAGGGAGGGAAGGAAGGAGGGAGGGAGGUAGGGAGGAAGGAAGGAAGGAAGGAAGGAAGGAAGGAAGGAAGGAAGGAAGGAAGGAAGGAAGGAAGGAGACUAAGAGAGAAAGAGGGAAAGAAAGAGAGAGAAAGAUAGGAAAGGAGAGAGAGGGAAAGGAAGAAAUGAAGGAAGAAAGGAAGAGAGAAAGAGAAAAAGGAAAAGAGCAGCACAGGCCGGCCCUUCCAAAUUAAAACAAGAAGCCCCGAAGUUUUCUUUUUGGUAUUAAUAUUAUUUAACAUUUAAAAAUCCGGGAACUUCAAACAAACUUUCUGCAGGGAAAAGAAAGAGCAAAGAUCUGUUCUCUGGAAACCAUUUGUUCACAACUCGAACUGUGCCAUUUUGGCUUCGUAACAAAACUGAAGGCGCCCAGCCCUGCUCCCCCCCCCCACUCCUCCCCCCCGGCAUAUAUCUUUUCAGCACACAUUUUAAAAUAAAUAUUCUUACGAGGCUUUCCAGAAUGCCUCCUUGUUAUGAAUUGAUAGGAUACAACAUCCCGCAGCUGCGCCUGGAAGUCGAGAUUCGGUCCCUUCAACACCGGCACAACAUCUGCGGGGAAAACCAUUACCGCUGCUCCCUCCGCCCCGCGGCCGCGGAUGGCAGCGCGCUGCCGGGGGAGGGCCGGGCCGUGGGCACGGGGAGCCGCUCCGUGCAGCCGGGCGGCCCCCUCGGAUGUCGAGCAUAGAAAGUGGCCCUUUUCCCCCCUUUUUAAAAUAUAUAUCUUCAUUUUUUUUCCCCCGUCUCUUUCCUCGAGCCCUUUUAACAUUACCAAUCUUCCCGUCCCGCUGCUCAGCAAGUAAAAAUAAACCCAAGCACGCUCAGUAAAGCCGUCCCUGCAGAUUUUAAGAAAAAAAUAAUAAUAAUAACUAAUAAACAGACCCAGGGGUCUAUUCGGGUGUCUCCAGCCUGAGAAACGCGGGCCGAAUCCUCCCGGGUUCUGGUCCCGCUCUAGGAUGAAUUCAGCCUUCAGGACAUUUUCGCAGCGCAUUCGCUCAGCGAGGCUUUCCUGCUGAGAAAUGCCGUCCGCCGACAGCGUUUAUUAUUUACGAAAGCAGAAAGCAUUUGCUCUGUGAUCUCCAGCUUACAGCAGGUGCCAGAGCUCUCUUCGGGGCCGUACGUUCGUGCGUCUAUAUAUACGCACCGUGAAAUAAAGCGGCCGCUUUGUCUUAUUUAAAACCAAAAGAAACAACAGAGAAAUGCUGAGGUUUUAAACGCUUCCUAUGUUUAUACGGCUUAGGCUCGGUCCGAAUGGAUUCUGCGUCAUUAUCAUGUUUCAACCUCUGUUUUCUCGGUGGUUUUAACGAGAUGCUUUGGUGCGAACUGCGCUGCCCGUCCUUCCUAAGCUGCGCUCCUCGGUCGGGUUAUAUUUGUACAUAUGGUGCGUGUAUGUGUGUAUGGUGCGUGUAUGUUUGUGCACGGUGUAUGCGUUAGAGUUGCACAGGUCGGAAGUAACUGCGUUCCCCAAACAGAGGAUGAGGUGCCAGCGCUUCACUGAAAGUGCAACGCUGAAUAUCACGGGAUUGACAUCUAUCGCCUCGAUCGCCCAUCAAAGGCCAAAACAAAACGGUAUCGCUGAGCGCACGGCUGAAGAGAUUGACCUCAACAGAGGAACGCGUCGCAGUCGUUGUGCCUCCUCACCUCCGCGCACCCAGCGCGAUGAGUCCAGCCUUAAUGACUCCAUAUUCCUUUCCCGUCGCCACACUCCAGCCACCCCCCCGGCUCUCCCCAGCCAGCAGCCAGCCGACCCCUCCAGAUGGCGCCCCGGGAGGGAGCAGAGCCCACAGAGAGCCGCGGGCUGAGCCCCGUGACGCGGGGCGAUGCCCUCACCCACCCCCGUGCGCUCCAACUCCCGCAGCCGGAGCGCAGCGCAGCAGCAGCGCCUCACUGUGAGACUCGGGGGGGGGUUCACCUGGGAGAACUCCGGGCCGUUACAAAAACGCGUCCGGGGACUGUUUGUUGCAGAUCCCCCCGACCCGACAGGCACCGGGCGGGAGCGGAGCCCGGGGCUGCCCUGCGGGGCGAGAGGGGCCCUCGUCCCACCCCUCCGACAUAGGUGCAACGACGGAAAACGGCUUCAAAAAGACUCAAUAGCCACAGGGUCAGGCCGAGCCGCGCGGCCCGUGUAGCAGAAGCAGCGGAGGGCCGUCUGGGUGCGCGGCCCGGUGCGGCCGGGAGCCCACGGGAGCGUCCCGGGACAGCCGCUGUUCGCCGCUCCGCGCUGCUCUCCUUUUUCCUUUCGUCUCUAUGCCAGAGCGCUGGAAAGAAUUAAAUUCUUUAAAGGUUCGCAUUUGAAACCGUGACUGGAGUAAACUAAGGAUCAGGUGUAAAUAAUUACCAACGUCAGGAAAGCAGCGACUGCUGCGUGUGGUUUAUUCAUCGUUUUUUUUUUUUUUUUCCCUUUUCUCUUUUGAAUCGUUUGAUCAUUUCCAUCCUGAACUGUUUGCCAAAUUCACGUCUCCUUAACGUGCUGAGAGCCCUCUGGUGCCCACAGCCCGGAUCGGGUCGGUACCAUCCGUGCUGACCGAAGGACGCUGCCCGUUCGCAAACGCCACCAGAGCCUCUCGGCUGACGGCGGCGUGGAGCACGUGAGUUACGGAGCACAAUAAAUGGUUCGAAUACAACGGAGCCAAAAUCGAACGGGAGAGCUCCGCGGGGCGGGACAGGCGGGGUUCGGCCCGAACGCACGGAAAUGGAAGCAACCGUGGAACAAAAGCCGCCGAGAAAAGGGAGAAACGCGGCCACAGAUCAUAAUCCAUACAAACAAAAGCCCGGGGCUGAUCCCACCCUUCCAUCCGCGUUCACUUCUGCCCGCGUCCACCUCUCUUUUUGCCUACUCUGCAGUUGGAACCCGUUUGUCUCUUCAGAAAGCCGCGGUGGGAAAAAGGCAGAGAAAGGACUUCUUUCUCGUGUGUGUCCUCUUUUAAAAUCUCCCUGCACACCGAGACACCACCGGAGCAUGUUCUGGUGCUGUAAACGUGUUUUUAUCACGCCGUAAAUUCCUGCCCCUCUGACAGAGCGGCCGGAAAUGUAAAUCACACCGUGGAGCUGAAGUUAUGAAGAAGUUCGUUACGUUUCUGCGUCCUAAGGAGGAUCGCGGCUCUGCGGGGUCGGUGGAGGGGGGGCUGGGGAAGGGGGGGGGGGGGGAAGGGGGGGCUGGGUGAGGUUGUUUCCUAUUCUCCCGCUCCGCCGAACUGUGGCUCCGCGGUGCCGGGGACUUUGAUGGGAAGGAGCGGACAAUGUGCAGAGUCCCUGCCUGUGACACCCAGGCCACCGCCACUUGGGAGGUCUUUCGGCCUAAUGCAUCCACAGCUAACUGCUCCCAACAGGAGGCUCUGCGGAUCAGCCGGGGUCACAAUUACACUUCUGCUAAAGGCAGGGGCUUAAAGAAAAAAAAAAAUGGAGGGAGAGAGAGAGGAAAGAGGGCUGGGCGAGCGGUGGAAUUAAAGCUUCUCACUUCAUCUGAGGAAGGAAAGGCCGAGAGCGAGCGAGGAUAGCAGGACUCGUUCACAUGAGGCGUACGCGGGGGGGAGGUGGGAUCGCUCCGUCGCGGAGGCCGUGUGCCCGGGGACCGCCUGGCCGGAGGGCUGAGACGGCACCGCGCCGCCGUGGGGGGGGG